AUGAAUAUUGCUCUCCUAUCCCGAUGGCUUUGGCGCAUUUCGCAAGGGCAAGGCGGCCUCUGGUUAGAUAUAAUCCGGGCCAAGUACCUGCAUGGACAACCCCUUGCUUUCUGUCAGCGUUCAGGCGGCUCCCAGUUUUGGCAGUCGAUUAUCCAGCUUCUCCCGGUCCUCCGCAUUGGGACAUCCAUCUCGGUUGGUUCGGGUUCUGUGACCUUGUUCUGGUUCGACCGUUGGGCUGGUGACUCCCCCUUCGCGGCGCGGUUCCCCGACCUCUUCUCCAUCGCUGUGGACCCAACCAUCUCCGUCGAGAGGGCCCUUAUUGACUUAGGGCGCCUCGCCUUCCGGAGACCAUUCGGUCCUCUGGAAUCCGCCGCUUGGCGCGAGUUGCUUGAUUGCAUCGCCCUGCAAGAACCGGCCGUCGACUCUGGCCCGGACCAGGUUAGGUGGCGUCUUGAGCCUUCCGGCCAAUUCUCCACCAAGUCCCUCCACCAGGCCAUUGCUCCCUCCAUCGCCCCGCCCCCCCUCCCGGCGGUUUGGUCCAUCCGUCUGCCUCUGAAGAUCCGGAUCUUCAUGUGGCAAUGGAUUCGCGGACGGAUCCCGUCUGGGGUGGAGGUCCGCAAGCGCAAUGGCCCUGGGACGGGCAUCUGCCCGCUUUGCGAUGUUCCCGAAGACUCGAAUCACAUCUUCUUCACGUGCAUGUCUGCUCAGUUUCUAUGGAGUUGCUUUAGGGAGGUGGUCGGUGGCAAUUGGUGUCACACCAACUUCCCCGGCCUAUUCGCCGAACUCCAGAUAUCCCCCUACCUUCUCGCCACAUUAGGUGGCUUGAGAUUGGGGCGCUAG
rnacentral:rRNA from 1 species